UCGGUCCCAGGUCCCGCCUCUGUCUCCGGUUUCGGCCUCAUUCCCUCCCGCCGCUCAGAGCUCCUUUCACCGACAACCAGCCCCGAUCUACGGCCAAGAACCGAGGGAACCAUGGCGUCCGGCGUGACCGUGAACGACGAGGUGAUCAAAGUGUUCAAUGAGAUGAAGGUGCGUAAGUCUUCGUCGCAGGAGGACGUGAAGAAGCGUAAGAAGGCGGUGCUGUUCUGUCUGUCGGACGACAGCAGGAAGAUCAUCGUGGAGGAGGGGAAACAGAUCCUGGUGGGCGACAUCGGCGACACGGUGGACGACCCGUACGCCUGCUUCGUCCAAAUGCUCCCGCCCAAAGACUGUCGCUACUGCCUGUACGACGCCACGUACGAGACGCGCGAGAGCAAGAAGGAGGACCUGGUCUUUGUCUUCUGGGCUCCAGAGGGCGCUCCUCUGAAGAGUAAGAUGAUCUACGCCAGCUCCAAAGACGCCAUCAAAAAGAAGUUUACAGGUAUCAAACACGAGUGGCAGGUGAACGGUCUUGACGACAUCCAGGACCGUUCGAACCUGGCGGAGAAACUGGGGGGUCCCGUGGUCGUGUCCCUGGAGGGCAAGGCUCUGUGACGGGCGCCCGCCGCAGCCAAUCACGUGCCAUCCUGCCCCCACGCCCCGCCCACCGCCGUCUGAAGGAGGAUCUUUAGGCUCUGUGUCCAACGAAGGAUCCGAAUCACCGCGUUUACAAGAAAAACCUGAAGAAAAAACUACAACUACAGAGGCUCCACUGACGCCCCGAGCGACGCACACACGUCACACACACGUCACACACACGUCACACACAUGUCACACACACUCGUGUCACACACACUCGUGUCACGUGUUAAACACUACAGCCCUCACUGCAGCUACACACUUUAUAUUUGAGACGUGCAUUUGUUGUGCGUUUGUUGUGCAUUUGUUGUGCGUUUGUUGUGUGUGUGUCGUGUGUGUGUCGUGUGUGUUUGAUCUCGUGUCACUUUGGGCCCAGGAAGCCCCGCCCCUCGCCAAAGUUUGCACCAAUCACAAGCCUCUAAAAGCUCUGUAACAGAAAAGUUUUGCGUUUACAGCGUGUGGUCACAGCGCCGCCGCCGCCGCCGCCGCUCGGUGGAACUCAGUGGAACCUCUGUUUAAAAUGAUGGACUCGACUGAAAUCUGCCCUGAUGAAAAAAAAACUUCCUAAAACCUCCCGACCUCCACCAAAAGUGUCAAAAGUGAAGUUUAUUUAUUGUUUAUGGUUUUCACAAUAAGUACAAAUACUACAGACGUGUACUCUCUGAAGUACAAAUACUACAGAUGUGUACUCUCUGAAGUACAAAUACUACAGACGUGUACUCUCUGAAGUACAAAUACUACAGACGUGUACAGAUCCUGCAGAGUUGGACUCAGGAGAGAAACACAAACACAUUUCAGAUUAUUUUUCAGAUUUAUUUCAUUUGAGUUUAAACCAAAAUGCUAAAAGCCAAAAUGUUGAGACGCUUGGCCCGAGGGCAAAGGUCAAAGGUCAAAAGUGUAGGUGAUUGUUUUUGGUCCUGUCCUGAGUCCAGCGCUGCAUCGUCUCCUCAUGGACCAUGUUCACAUCCAAAACUCUGAGUCCUGCUUUUGUACUUUUCCAUUUUGGUCCCGUUUUUUCACUGUUUCCUGUAACACCGAACUCCAGCCUCAAAAACACACGAGUCUGCGCAGGAGGCACGACCCGACUCUCGGCCAGAGUCUCCACAACCGUCGGGUCGAGUCUCCAGAACCGUCGGGUUGAGUCUCGAGACUUGUCGGGGCGAGUUUUCAGCGGAAAAUGGAUUUGCGCACAGACGUGUGUUUUUGUGGGUGGAGUUUGGUGACCUCUUCUUCUUCUUCUUCCUCCCGGGUUUGACUCUGAACGAGAUCUGCUUUAGUCCUGGUUUGGAUCUGGGUCAGACCUAAUUAAGUCCUGGCUUGGUCCUGGUCCUGGUCUUGGUCUUGGUCUUGGUCUGGUCCUGGUCCUGGUCUGGUUGAAUGUCCCUUGAUCUUGGUGAGUUUUGGUCAGAGCCUUAAAGCGACGCCACAAUAAACCCGAGUGGCACCAGA